rnacentral:rRNA from 1 species
UAGCUAGUUGGUGAGGUAACGGCUUACCAAGGCGACGAUCUGUAGCGGGUCUGAGAGGAUGAUCCGCCACACUGGAACUGAGACACGGUCCAGACUCCUACGGGAGGCAGCAGUGGGGAAUUUUGGACAAUGGGGGCAACCCUGAUCCAGCCAUGCCGCGUGAGUGAAGAAGGCCUUCGGGUUGUAAAGCUCUUUCGGCCGGGAAGAAAUCGCAUGGGCCAAUACCCUGUGUGGAUGACGGUACCGGAAUAAGAAGCACCGGCUAACUACGUGCCAGCAGCCGCGGUAAUACGUAGGGUGCGAGCGUUAAUCGGAAUUACUGGGCGUAAAGCGUGCGCAGGCGGUUUUGUAAGACAGGCGUGAAAUCCCCGGGCUCAACCUGGGAACUGCGUUUGUGACUGCAAGGCUAGAGUACGGCAGAGGGGGGUGGAAUUCCACGUGUAGCAGUGAAUGCGUAGAGAUGUGGAGGAACACCAAUGGCGAAGGCAGCCCCCUGGGUCGAUACUGACGCUCAUGCACGAAAGCGUGGGUAGCAAACAGGAUUAGAUACCCUGGUAGUCCACGCCCUAAACUAUGUCAACUAGGUGUUGGGUGGGUAAAACCAUUUAGUACCGUAGCUAACGCGUGAAGUUGACCGCCUGGGGAGUACGGCCGCAAGGUUAAAACUCAAAGGAAUUGACGGGGACCCGCACAAGCGGUGGAUGAUGUGGAUUAAUUCGAUGCAACGCGAAAAACCUUACCUACCCUUGACAUGCCAGGAACUUGCCAGAGAUGGCUUGGUGCCCGAAAGGGAGCCUGGACACAGGUGCUGCAUGGCUGUCGUCAGCUCGUGUCGUGAGAUGUUGGGUUAAGUCCCGCAACGAGCGCAACCCUUGCCGUUAAUUGCCAUCAUUUAGUUGGGCACUUUAGCGAGACUGCCGGUGACAAACCGGAGGAAGGUGGGGAUGACGUCAAGUCCUCAUGGCCCUUAUGGGUAGGGCUUCACACGUCAUACAAUGGUCGGUACAGAGGGUCGCCAAGCCGCGAGGUGGAGCCAAUCCCAGAAAGCCGAUCGUAGUCCGGAUUGCAGGCUGCAACUCGCCUGCAUGAAGUCGGAAUCGCUAGUAAUCGUGGAUCAGCAUGUCACGGUGAAUACGUUCCCGGGUCUUGUACACACCGCCCGUCACACCAUGGGAGCGGGUUCCGCCAGAAGUAGGUAGCCUAACCGCAAGGAGGGCGCUUACCACGGCGGGGUUCGUGACUGGGGUGAAGUCGUAACAAGGUAGCCGUAGGGGAACCUGCGGCUG